rnacentral:rRNA from 1 species
UACAGAGGGUGCGAGCGUUAAUCGGAAUUACUGGGCGUAAAGCGCGCGUAGGCGGCUUUGCAAGUCGGGUGUGAAUCCCCAGGCUUAACCUGGGAACUGCAUUCGAGACUGCAUUGCUAGAGUAUGGGGAGAGGAAGUGGAAUUUCCGGUGUAGCGGUGAAUGCGUAGAUAUCUGGAGGAACACCGGUGGCGAAGGCGGCACCUGGACCGGCAUUGCGCCUGAGGAGCGAAAGCCAGGGGAGCAAACGGGGAUUAGACAU